GGUCUUGGUAGAGGUUUUGGUGGCCCUCGUGGUGGAGGUUUUGGUGGCGUUUUACAGUGAAUUGCUUCGACUCUGCUAUCUGUCACAACCAAAAAUAUCAUUGAAGUUUGAUGGAAGACUGCAAGAAAACAAGCCUACUCCUGUGCUCUCCUGCUACACUGUAACAUUACUGUAACCGUUUCUCUGCAACUUACUGUGGCUAUAAUAACUGCACAAAUUUCAAAAUAAUAUAUGUAAUUAAGCAUGGAUUUGAGAUGAUGCCUCAUGGCUGUUGUGUUUAUACCAUAUUUCACAAACUGUUCUGAGAAAGUUGAUUAAACUGCAAACAUAUCUGGGAUAUGCACACAUUUCUCAGAACAAAAGUGCUUGCUAAAAAGAAUAAAUACUUGAGUUUUGCCAAA